rnacentral:lncRNA from 1 species
GCACAUGUAUACAUAUGUAACUAACCUGCACAAUGUGCACAUGUACCCUAAAACUUAAAGUAUAAUAAUAAUAAAAAAAAAGAACCCAUUUUAAACCCACCAACCUCCCCUUACUUUUCACUUACUCUGUGUAAAAGCUCUGUAGUCAAGAUUAAGAGCACUUUAAGAGCAUAGGUGAUUCGUCAGGGUAUGAGAACUAUGAUUCAGGCAAGAAGCUGUAGGGGGGGUGAAGAGGCUGCAAGUCUUCAAAAAUUCACAAAUUGGAUUAUCAAUUCUUAAGGAGUCAGCCAUUGUAGCAAACCAUGCCUUGAGGCAUAGAGUUGAAAUGCCACUUAAAGCAGGAGUGAAGAAAAGCAUUCCUUUUGAGAGGCAGUAUUGCAUAGGGUCAAGAGCAU